rnacentral:pre_miRNA from 1 species
CCUCCGUUUAUUUUUCGUUUUUUCGUGCCUAACGUUUGAUCAUUCGUUUUAAUUAAAAAAAAUUUACGAUUAAUAUUUUUAUUGUUACUGAAUGAUAAAAUAUAAAUAGUACUUUAUACGUGACUAAUUUUUUUAAAUUUUUCUACAAUUUUUUUAAUUAGACGAAUAAUCAACCGUUAGACACGAAAAACAAAAAAUAACGUUAUU